rnacentral:tRNA from 1 species
GCCAGCAUGGCAUAGUGGUUUGAGCACUGGACUACAACUCUGGAGAACAGGGUUCGAAUCCCAGCUCAGCCA